UACGAGGGGGGCGAGCGUUGUUCGGAAUUAUUGGGCGUAAAGGGCGCGUAGGCGGUCGGAUAAGUCUUGUGUGAAAUCUUCGGGCUCAACUCGAAGUCUGCACAGGAAACUAUCUGGCUUGAGUGUGGGAGAGGUGAGUGGAAUUCCUGGUGUAGCGGUGAAAUGCGUAGAUAUCAGGAGGAACACCAAUGGCGAAGGCAGCUCGCUGGGACGGUACUGACGCUGAGACGCGAAAGCGUGGGGAUCAAACAGG
rnacentral:rRNA from 1 species